rnacentral:tRNA from 1 species
GUUAUAUUGACAGAUUAGUGUAUUAAAUUUAGAAUUUAAUUAAAUAAAUUUUUAAAAUUUAUAUAUAAUA